GACACAAAAUAAUUCGGCUGUUACAACGCGUCACUGUCUGGGCUUGGGCAGCGUCUGCUAAUGGGCCUUUAGAAACAUCCUCUCACCCCUUCUGCCUUUUUUCUAUUCCACCCGAGCAAAGAGCAAGCUCUCAAAAAUAAAAACGAAAACACCCGAGCAAGGAGCAAUGACACAAGCACUUCUCUCGAACAGAAAAGAAAAAGGCCGAGAACAGGAGCUAGGGUUUGAAUCACCAUCUCUCCGGCCUACCCGCCGGUGCUCCGGUCACGCCUCUGCUCCUCUUCCCCCCUCUUCUCGCCCCCUUAUCCUCCACCCUAUUUUUCGACUGUUAGGCGCCACGAAGCCAGCCAUCACUCCAGGACCUCGUCUUCGUCUGCAUGGCGAGAAAAAAGGGCGACGGCGGAAAAUAUCUCCGGUUCCUUGGAGAUGUCGGCGAUAUCCCAGGCGAUCCGGGCCUGCGCGGUCGAGUCUGGGGCGUCGACGACGAGCCUGGUGUCCAUGGAUGCGAUGAGGGCGGGAGGGGCGUGGGCCAAGGGGCCACCCGCGGCGGAGCGCGGUACCGGGCGCGGCGGCAAGGGGGGCCGUGGAGGACGGGGCGCGCGUGCAGUCGGUGUUCAUCAGCUGCCCCGGGGUGGGCAAGGCCACCUAUGCCAGCUGCCUUUUGCGGCUCCACGGCAUGCCCCACAUCACCACUGGCGCUCUCAUCCAAAGGGCCCCCUCCAAGCGCGCCGCCACCAUCUGCCCCGCCUACCGCGGGCCGCCGGCCAAUCCCCCACCGUUGAGCGCCGCCACCGCCUACCCUCCUCCCAUCGGGAUCCCCUUGGAUCCAAAAAUCCAUCCACCCAGUCCUCGCCGCGAUUUCCAAAUUGAACCUACCGUCAUCCGGCGUACUGGCAGGGUGUGGGGAGAGAUCCAGAUGGCGACGCCGGACUAGAGGUCGGAGGCAGCGAGGUCCGACAGAGAAGGGCGAGGUGCGGCAGAGGAGGCGACGGGUGGGCUGAUGUUAGCGACAAAUAGCGGCUGGGUCGGGCACUCAGUGAGGCAGAUGCACGGGGGCAUAGCUGCGCAGGGAAGCUGCAACCGCCGAGAAAACCCGUCAGCACGCCAAUGGCCGCGGGCCACAGAUGCGGCGGCCUUGACAUCUCAUGGAUGACGCACAUCGGCGUGCUGCUUGAGCGUGAGGGCAAGGAAAGCAUCGAGCAGGCGGUCAUCCGGCAGGCGGCGUCACAGAGCCUCGUGGAGCAUGCAGAGGAGGAGAUCCAUCUCAAACCCUUACCAUGAGUAGACUGCCGAAAUUCUUCAUAAAGGCCUCCACUGACUGACAGAGGUAUGCCAUCUCUCUGCUCUGCAUCCCUAAACUGAAAUAUCUGCAGAUUUAGCAAAUGUUUGUCUCGAGGUCUGCAUGAGACCAUGAGCCUUUACAGUUCCAGAGCUUAAUUGUUUUUGCUCUAUGGACAUUGCAAGAUGCCGAGGCCUUAUACUUAGGAAGCAAUUUAAGACAGUCCCACACCAUUCUGCUUUGCACAGGCAGGUGAUUUUGAUAAUAUAGUUCCCAUGUGAGUUUCAUUUAAGGUUGGUCAAUUUGGCACUCAUUUUGGAUAUGAAGGUGAAUAACUCCUAGGCGUCAAGAAUCCUUAGGUUUGCACACCAUACGCCAUGCUGCAAAGGAAGGAUUAUGCUUUGUCAAGUCUCCCCCUCUUCAUAAUCAUUGCCUUCUUUGUUUGUCAAUUUUCUCAUUGAUUUAUUUUUAUACCAUAAGGGAACAUAGAUGAGAAGUAGAGAAUGAGGUCAUGGCUGUAUAUACCAUCUGUAGUUUUUCUUAUGUGGCGUAGAAACCGAGCAUAGCUCUGAACCGUAAGCUGGCUCAACACUCUAUCUUCCAUUGUUUCAGGGUAUCAUUAGUUUAAUGCCAGGCUAAGGCUUUUUUCCAAAAAUAAUUCAAGGAAAACCAAUGCCAAAGGUCAUGCGUCCUCGUGGACCUAGGUCCACCUAAACAUAACUUAAUGGGAUAAGGUUCAGAUUAAAUAAUUUUAGAAAGUUUCACACUUGAUGCAAAAUAUUAUAGUUUAGUGUUCACGUUGGACCAAGAUUUAAUAGUAGAGAUUGCUUGGAUUAAGUGGGGGUGAAGAUGUUCUUGCUGUCUAUAUCUGGAAUAAAAACCUGAUGAAGAUCCUUCCGAGGUAAGGUUCUCUUUGACUGUUCGUUCUUUGAACUCUUUUCCCGUCUCCUUAUAUUCAUGACUUAGUUCUAUUUUUGUGUAGGCGUUUCAAAUGUGCCUCUUCUCGCACUGAAUAGGGCCAUCAACGGAGCAGUCAAAGAAGCAACACUGCAGUAGCAAAAAAAAUGAUACGUGGCACUCUCCCAGUGUCCGCGCCCAGUAUAAUGUCAAAAUAGUAGUUGCUUCUUGUUCUUCAGAAAGUAAAUUUAAACAUCUGUUGUAAGAUUCCAGUACAAGCAAGAUUUUUAUGUGAGAUAGUAGCCGUGUUAUAUUUACAAAAUAAGGUUCUUUACUCCUAAGUCUAAUGUUUUGUGCCUCACGUCUGAAUUCAGGUCAAGGCAACCGCUGCUAGCUGCUCUGCCACAAGUACGAAAACAAACGUAGUUCUUUGCCUAAAAGGUGUGUAUAGCUGACUGCUAUUUGAUUGCCCCGUUGACAUGAUAGAUGAGGCAAGGGCCAGGAGAGGAGAACUGAGGACCAGAAAGCAUAGGAACAGAUUUUGCUGCAUUAGCCAAGGAUAAAAAAAGAAAAGAGGGGAAAAGAAGCGGAGGAUAAAGAUUUGGCCAAUGAUCCGAUAUGUCUUCACUUCAAGGGUAACCUUGUACUUAGUCCUAAGAUCGUAGGUUGAUGUUUGGAUUGAGAAUUAUUGCCUGGUUAAGGCAACUGCUAAUUAGAAUAUGAAUAUAAAGGUUUUAAAAUCAAAAUUGUGUAUAAACAGUUUAGAAUUUGAUAUAGUAGUAAAUGCAAAGUUGUAGAGCAUCUGAAGGAGGCUAUAGUUUGUACUCCCCCCGUCUCACAAUGUAAGACUUUUUUGCAAACAAGGCAGUAGACAGUAGUACUGAAUGUUGAUUUCUCUUUACAUAAAUGUAAGUGCAUGAUUAGUUUUGAGAAAUAGUUUUAUGCAUUAUUUUGAUAUAUCUGCGUCUCUCCUGGUCUGAUUGUAGUAGAAAAAAAAUUAGUUGGUGUGGGUUCCCUAUAUUUUAGUGCUAACUACAAUCUAUAUCUCGUGGUAACAACAUAUGUUAGUCAGCUGGGUGCCCAUAUAUAUGCAUAACUAAUGGAGCUUUUACACUGAAUUAUUGCGAUGAGCAUAACAAUGAAC